GAUGAACGCUGGCGGCGUGCCUAAUACAUGCAAGUCGAGCGAACGGACGAGAAGCUUGCUUUUCUGAUGUUAGCGGCGGACGGGUGAGUAACACGUGGAUAACCUACCUAUAAGACUGGGAUAACUUCGGGAAACCGGAGCUAAUACCGGAUAAUAUUUUGAACCGCAUGGUUCAAAAGUGAAGGACGGUCUUGCUGUCACUUAUAGAUGGAUCCGCGCUGCAUUAGCUAGUUGGUAAGGUAACGGCUUACCAAGGCAACGAUGCAUAGCCGACCUGAGAGGGUGAUCGGCCACACUGGAACUGAGACACGGUCCAGACUCCUACGGGAGGCAGCAGUAGGGAAUCUUCCGCAAUGGGCGAAAGCCUGACGGAGCAACGCCGCGUGAGUGAUGAAGGUCUUCGGAUCGUAAAACUCUGUUAUUAGGGAAGAACAUAUGUGUAAGUAACUGUGCGCAUCUUGACGGUACCUAAUCAGAAAGCCACGGCUAACUACGUG
rnacentral:rRNA from 1 species